CAUGUGGUUUAAUUCGAUGCAACGCGAAGAACCUUACCUGGGCUUGACAUCCCGGGAAUCCCUUGGAAACAAGGGAGUGCCCUUCGGGGAACCUGGAGACAGGUGCUGCAUGGCUGUCGUCAGCUCGUGUCGUGAGAUGUAGGGUUAAGUCCCGCAACGAGCGCAACCCUUGUCUUUAAUUGCCAUCAUUGAGUUGGGCACUUUAAAGAGACUGCCGGUGUUAAACCGGAGGAAGGUGGGGAUGACGUCAAGUCCUCAUGGCCCUUAUAGGUGGGGCUACACACGUCAUACAAUGGAUGGUACAAAGGGUCGCCAACCCGCGAGGGGGGAGCCAAUCCCAUAAAGCCAUUCGUAGUCCGGAUCGCAGUCUGCAACUCGACUGCGUGAAGUCGGAAUCGCUAGUAAUCGUGGAUCAGAAUGUCACGGUGAAUACGUUCCCGGGUCUU
rnacentral:rRNA from 1 species